GUGUAUGGUUGUUUGAUGCUUUGAGCACAUUUUUUUUUUCUUAAUUUUUCCUCUUCACAUUUCUUUUGCAUUUUUAGGUUGGUGAACUUGGUGCAUGGUAUUUGCUUACAUGUGCUACUUACUAUCUUAUCUCAUCUUUAGUGGUUAUAUAUUCACAUGGUUGUGUCUAAAACUUCAUACUGAGUCCUUUCAGUUGUUAUCAUUACUUUUCAUCUAUUGUAUGAAACUUUUAACACCUUUUUCCCCUUUGGCAUGCCUAUCUCAUGAUGGAUCACUCAUUCUUG
rnacentral:misc_RNA from 1 species